UUGAAACUUCCUGGUUCUCUGAUUGACUGGUGAAGUGUUAAAAAAAAGUUGACACUUCUCACUGUUUUAGUUUUAGUUCGUGGAGUCAGACUUGCUCUCUGUACCUGUUUUGUAUUUCCAUUUCUUUGUCUCCGUUAUUUUCAUCUUUUACUUUGCUGAAAAUGGCCACUAACCUCCAAGUAUGUGGAAUUGAUCCGGAGCUACUAAAGGCUGUAAAGAGUCUACGUAUGAAACGCACAACCAACAACGAAUGUUUGGUUUUGAAAAUAGAUACAGAACGAAAAAUUGUAAUUGUAGAUGAAGAGUUGAAAGUAAGCCAUUUUACUUGAAAAUUGUCUCAAAUGCUAGCUUAUUAUCUAUAUUGAUAGGAUUUAAUUUAAAAAUAUUAAACAAAGAACGCUAAAUAUUAGUUUGUAUUU